rnacentral:rRNA from 1 species
AGGAUGAACGCUGGCGGCGUGCCUAACACAUGCAAGUCGAACGUCCUGUCUCGCAAGAGGCAGGGAGUGGCGGACGGGUGAGUACCACGUGGGUCAUCUACCGUGAGGUGAGGAAUACCGGCGAGAAAUCGCCGACAAGACCGCAUAGCCUCGGUGCAAGUCGAGGAAAGCUCUCUCGAGAGAGGGAGCGCCACACGAGGAGCCUGCGCCCGAUUAGCUAGCUGGUGGAGUAAUGGUUCACCAGGGCGACGAUCGGUAGCUGGUCUGAGAGGACGAUCAGCCACACUGGGAUUGAGAACGGCCCAGACUCCUACGGGGGGCAGCAGUGAGGAAUUUCGUCAAUGGGGGCAACCCUGAACGAGCAACGCCGCGUGCAGGAAGAAGGUUUUCGGAUCGUAAACUGUCUUUUCUCGGAGAAGAGAACGGACGGUACCCGAGGAAUCGAGCCCCGGCUAACUACGUGUCAGCAGCCGCGGU